rnacentral:lncRNA from 1 species
CACACUGGAUUGGCACCCACCUCUGAGUUCUGGCCAGGAGGCUUCUUGCCCCAUUCAAAUUGUUACAAAGUUCAGCUGGAAAUUACCUUCUCCCUGUGGUGUUUUCCCCCUACUCCUCUGGCUGCCCUCCUGAUGGAUCCUUGUGGUGCCAGGCAGGAAUGGCCUGCCUGGGGACCCAGUGAGCUGCCAGGGCCUUUGUGAUGCUUCCUCUACCCCUGUAUUUCUCUUGGCUUUCUAAAUGGACUCAGCUCCAGAGUGGAAGCAGCCUAAGGCCCUCACCAGAAGCAGCUGCUCGUGUCAUUUUUCUUGCAGAGCCGGAAGAACUGUCCCUGAUCAACCAGUCAAGCCGUUCACCACCGCUCGUUUAAUUGAAUGCUCCAGUUCUUUUCAUUUCCGAAGUUAUGGUGAGAAGAACUAAGUGGAAAAUGGUGAUAAAUUACCUGAUAUGCAAAAGCGCAUUCUGCUAAAUGGAAGACAUCCUCAAUUCUGUUGGAGGGGCAGUUACUAUUGAAAUGCAUAAAUGUUUGAGACUAAAUAUUUUCAUAAUACUGUUUUCUCUCCACACCAAGUACUUUUCUCCUGUUUAUAUUGGUAGAAUAUCACAGUUUGUUUGGAUUAAAGUGUAACUUAAAUGUGCACUACAUAAAUUUUGAGAAGAGCUCUACCCCAUGAGAUUUUUUUUUUCUUUUCUUUUCUUUUUUUUUUUUUUGAGAUGGAGUCUCACCCUGUCGCCCAGGCUGGAAUGCAGUGGCACAAGCUCGGCUCACUGCAAGCUCCACCUCAUGGUUCACGCCAUUCUUCUGCCUCAGCCUCCCAAGUAGCUGGGACUACAGGCACCCGCCACCAUGCCUGGCUAAUUUUUUUGUAUUUUUAUUAGAGAUGGGGUUUCACUGUGUGUUAGCCAGGAUGGUCUCGAUCUCCUGACCUCGUGAUCCGCCUGCCUUGGCCUCCCAAAGUGCUGGGAUUACAGGUGUGAGCUACCGCACCUGGCCCCCAUGAGAUUCCUAAUAUCAUUUGUGCCAUGACAUUGUGCUACACCCAAAUGUAUAUUUUAUUUUAUCAUUUCAAAAUAAUUCAAUAAAUAUAAUUUUAAAAGCAAACAC